rnacentral:rRNA from 1 species
AAUCUUGCGCAAUGGGCGAAAGCCUGACGCAGCGACGCCGCGUGGGGGAUGAAGGCCUUAGGGUUGUAAACCCCUUUCACGAGGGAAGAAACUGACGGUACCUCGAAAAGAAGCCCCGGCUAACUACGUGCCAGCAGCCGCGGUAAUACGUAGGGGGCGAGCGUUGUCCGGAUUUAUUGGGCGUAAAGGGCUCGUAGGCGGCUUGGCAAGUCGACCGUGAAAGCCCAGGGCUUAACCCUGGGAGGCCGGUCGAUACUGCCAUGGCUAGGGUCCGGUAGAGGGGAAUGGAAUUCCCGGUGUAGCGGUGAAAUGCGUAGAUACCGGGAGGAACACCAGUGGCGUAAGCGGCUUGCCAGACGCAUCCUGACGCUGAGGUACGAAAGCGUGGGUAGCGAACCGGAUUAGAUACCCGGGUAGUCCACGCCGCA